ACGCUGGCGGAGGCUAACACAUGCAAUGUCGAGCGCGCCUUCGGGUGAGCGGCGGACGUGGUUAGUAACGCGUGGGAACGUGCCCUUCUCUACGGAAUAGCCUCUGGAAACGGAGAGUAAUACUGUAUACGCCCUUUGGGGGAAAGAUUUAUCGGAGAAGGAUCGGCCCGCGUUAGAUUAGGUAGUUGGUGGGGUAACGGCCUACCAAGCCUACGAUCUAUAGCUGGUAUUAGAGGAUGAUCAGCAACACUGGGACUGAGACACGGCCCAGACUCCUACGGGAGGCAGCAGUGGGGAAUCUUAGACAAUGGGGGCAAACCUGAUCUAGCCAUGCCGCGUGAGUGACGAAGGCCUUAGGGUCGUACAGCUCUUUCGCCUGUGAUGAUAAUGACAGUAGCAGGUAAAGAAACCCCGGCUAACUCCGUGCCAGCAGCCGCGGUAAUACGGAGGGGGUUAGCGUUGUUCGGAAUUACUGGGCGUAAAGCGCGCGUAGGCGGAUUAGAAAGUUGGGGGUGAAAUCCCGGGGCUCAAACCCGUGAAAUGCCUCCAAAAACUGCUAGUCUAGAGUUCGAGAGAGGUGAGUGGAAUACCGAGUGUAGAGGUGAAAUGCGUAGAUCUUCGGAGGAACACCAGUGGCGAAAGCGGGUCACUGGCUCGAUACUGACGCUGAGGUGCGAAAGUGUGGUGAGCCAACAGGAUUAUAAUACCCUGCUAGGUCACAGCGGAAA
rnacentral:rRNA from 1 species